rnacentral:rRNA from 1 species
GACGAACGCUGGCGGCGUGCUUAACACAUGCAAGUCGAACGGUGAAGCUCCAGCUUGCUGGAGUGGAUCGGUGGCGAACGGGUGAGUAACACGUGAGCAACCUGCCCCUGACUCUGGAAUAAGCGCUGGAAACGGCGUCUAAUACUGGAUACGAGAAGGGUCCGCAUGGGCACUUUCUGGAAAGUUUUUCGGUUGGGGAUGGGCUCGCGGCCUAUCAGCUUGUUGGUGAGGUAAUGGCUCACCAAGGCGACGACGGGUAGCCGGCCUGAGAGGGCGACCGGCCACACUGGGACUGAGACACGGCCCAGACUCCUACGGGAGGCAGCAGUGGGGAAUAUUGCACAAUGGGCGAAAGCCUGAUGCAGCGACGCCGCGUGAGGGAUGACGGCCUUCGGGUUGUAAACCUCUUUCAGCAGGGAAGAAGCGAAAGUGACGGUACCUGCAGAAGAAGCACCGGCUAACUACGUG